rnacentral:misc_RNA from 1 species
GUAUUAGAUGCGUUUUAUUACAUCGAGUAGACAUUCUUAAGACAUACAAAGGGUGUGUAAAGGGACGCGAGCCUCUUCGAGUUAACGAAGAGACCCCCGCGAAGGUGCACAGGUGUGUGUGGAUUAGUGAAAGGAGCGUGCACAUGCCGUUUUUAAAGGCCAGCUACAACUCCAGUCAUAAAUUUCAUUAAUGAUCCUUCCGCAGGUUCACCUACGGAAA